rnacentral:rRNA from 1 species
CGAUAAGGGCGUUUGGUGGAUGCCUUGGCAGCAAGAGGCGAUGAAGGACGCGAUACCCUGCGAUAAGCUUUGGGGAGCCGGGAAUAGGCUUUGAUCCAAAGAUCUCCGAAUGGGGAAACCCACCUGAAUGCUGGUUAUUGUCACCCAUGCGGUGUCAAUAACCGACAUGACCAGGUACUUAUAGGCUGAAUCCAUAGGCUUAUAAGAGCGAACCCGGGGAACUGAAACAUCUAAGUACCCGGAGGAAAGGAAAUCAACAGAUACUCCCUUAGUAGUGGCGAGCGAACGGGGACCAGCCGAGCCGUGAGAAUGACCAGAAGGACCUGGAAAGGUCCGCCAGAGCGGGUGACAGCCCCGUAUGGGAAGUUUGAUCGGACGCAUUAAGUAGGGCGGGACACGUGAAAUCCUGUCUGAAGAUCGGGGGACCACCCUCGAAGGCUAAGUACUCCUUGCUGACCGAUAGCGAACCAGUACCGUGAGGGAAAGGUGAAAAGCACCCCGACGAGGGGAGUGAAACAGUUUCUGAAACCGGACGCCUACAAGCAGUCGGAGCCCGCAUGACGGGUGACGGCGUACCUUUUGUAUAAUGGGUCAACGACUUGGUCUGUCUAGCAAGCUUAAGCCGUUAGGUGGAGGCGCAGCGAAAGCGAGUCUUAAAAGGGCGACAGAGUUAGACGGAUCAGACCCGAAACCAGAUGAUCUAGCCAUGUGCAGGAUGAAGGUUGGGUAACACCAACUGGAGGUCCGAACCGACACCCGUUGAAAAGGGUCCGGAUGACGUGUGGCUAGGGGUGAAAGGCCAAUCAAAUCUGGAGAUAGCUGGUUCUCCGCGAAAGCUAUUUAGGUAGCGCCUCGAUUGUAUUCUCCCGGGGGUAGAGCACUGCAUGGAUGAUGGGGGCCCACAGCCUUACUGAGUCUAAGCAAACUCCGAAUACCGGGAAGAACUGAUCGGGAGACACACGGCGGGUGCUAACGUCCGUCGUGGAGAGGGAAACAACCCUGACCAACAGCUAAGGCCCCCAAUUCGUGGCUAAGUGGGAAAGCAUGUGAGACUUCCAAAACAACCAGGAGGUUGGCUUAGAAGCAGCCACCCUUUAAAGAAAGCGUAAUAGCUCACUAGUCGAGUCGGCCUGCGCGGAAGAUGUAACGGGGCUAAGCAAUAUACCGAAGCUGCGGCAGCAUAGUUUACUAUGCUGGGUAGGGGAGCGUUGUGUAAGUGGAUGAAGGUGAGUUGUAAAGCUUGCUGGACAUAUCACAAGUGCGAAUGCUGACAUGAGUAACGAUAAUGGGAGUGAAAAACUCCCACGCCGGAAGACCAAGGUUUCCUGUCCCAUGCUAAUCAGGGCAGGGUAAGUCGGCCCCUAAGGCGAGGCAGAAAUGCGUAGUCGAUGGGAAACGGAUUAAUAUUUCCGUACUUAUAUAAUCAGUGAUGGAGGGACGGAGAAGGCUAGGCAAGCUUGGCGUUGGUUGUCCAAGUGAAAGCGAGUAGGCCGAGAAUUUAGGUAAAUCCGGAUUCUUAAAGCUGAGACGCGAGACGAGCUCCCAAGGGAGUGAAGUUGUUGAUGCCCUGCUUCCAGGAAAAGCUUCUAAACUU